GAUGAACGCUAGCGAUAGGCCUAACACAUGCAAGUCGAGGGACCGGCGGAUGGGUGAGUAACGCGUAUGCAACUUGCCUCUUAGUGGGGGAUAACCCGGAGAAAUCCGGUCUAAUACCGCAUACUAAGACAUAGGCAUGCGUUCCAUUAGUUAGUUGGUGAGGUAACGGAUCACCCAGGCAUCGAUGGAUAGGGGAGCUGAUAGGCAGAUCCCCCACAUGUGGACGGAGACACGGCCCAAACUCCUACGGGAGACAGCAGUGUGGAAUAUUGGUCAAUGGAGGAAACUCUGAACCAGCCCAGUCGCGUGAAGGAUGACGGUCUAUGGAUUGUAAACUACUUUAGUAGGCGAGUAAGUAGCCUAAGAAUAAGUAUCGGCUAACUCCGUGCCAGCAGCCGCGGUAAUUC
rnacentral:rRNA from 1 species